UUGUUCAAGCUCAUCUUCAGUUGCCUUCCCAGCUGCUGGUGGAAAGGGGAGCUGAAUGGCUGGAGACAGCAACCAUCAGUGACAGGAGGAUUUAGCAGAAGACCUCAGACAGCCAGAAAAUAUCUGGUGAAGAAAGCAAUAGAAAAACAGAGCUUUAGCCCCAAACUCUAGGUUUGGCCUCAUGGCACUUCACUGGGGCUCAUUGAUGUUGGUGAAGACAAGAUCUGGUCCUUGCCUGUGAAAUAGCUGCAUCCUUGUCCUGUGCUGACUGCCCACCAAGUUGCUCCUGGAUACAGUGGAAGGUUGGAUUGCUUCAGGAGCCCUGAACUGCCCCCAGCUCCCCAGCAUGGUGAUGCUUGGAAGGAAAUCCUACAACCUGAGCACACACCCAGCUUCUCCCAGUCAUUCUGUCCUGCACAAAGGACUGUGGCUUCUUCUUCUGGAACUAUUCAGCUUUGCUCUGGUACAGAACACCAGACCAUCACUGGGAGCCCCACGCUGCAUCCUGGCUCUGGACCUCAGGAGAAGCCCAGCAGCACUCCAAAAGUCCACCAGCUUUCUCCACAAUGAGGAGUGGUUUCUGCUGUGUUCCAUCCAGAUGCGCAACCAUCCCCUACAACUCCCUGCUCUGAUCUCAUCCUGGAGCUGGCUACGGAGGGCUGGGGCACCUGUGGCACCAAGCAGGGCUGAGAAGAUGUUUCUGCAUUCUGGGUGAUAUUUAGACAUUCACACUUCAUCACCCUGUUUUCAUCUGACCCCAAGUGCUGAGGAAGGUGGUAAUGUAACCACUUGGUCAACCUGACUGCCAGGAAUUUUCCUCUACAACAAAAGGAAAGCCACAUAGUCAUGGCUAUGACCCUGCCUCUGCAAAGGACCCUUUCCCUCUUAUUCUCCACAAAUAUUGAUCUGAAAGCCAAAGGGGAAUGCUUCACUCCAGGCCCUACUGAAGAACUUAUUGGAGACCCAAGUUUCUUUGUGCUUCUUCUCACCUGCAAGCAAGAAACAGCUGAGGGCAAUCCUGCUGCUGAGGACAAUCCUGCUGCUGAGGGCAUCUUUUGAAGGAAAAGGGCUGUCAGCCCAGAGCCAGCAGGCAUAAAGUAUUACAGUUCCCAUUGCAUUGAACAGCAUCCUUUUAUGAGCUGACAGUAUGCAAGCCAUAAAAUCCAUGGAUGUUUCUGUACUCUGUAAAAUGUGUUCUUUAGAUCUGUCCAGGGAACAACAGCUUUUCCAGUUUAUUUUUAUGGGUGAAGUUGAGGAAUGCAUUCAAUGUUUGUUGCACAAUCCUCUGCUACUGUGGCUGAGGGAUUGCUCUUCCCCUGCUACUCCCAGUGCACUGAGCCCUUCCUGCUCUAGAGGUUAUUGUGCCAACCCCAAAACCUGGUCUGCUGACCCAGGUUAUUGCCUUGUUGCAUUUGCUCUAGCCACUCUCUUGCUUCCAGUGGUGCCUGUGAGCUCAGAAUGAGAACAGGGUUUUUUCUCUGUCUCCUGCUGGGGUCUGGUGCUACCCAGCUGUCCCCACUCAGAGCCUGCAGAGCCCUGGCUGCCACAGGACAAACCCACUGCAGGAACAAGCCAGAAAAGGGGGAAUGGGCAGGGUGGCAGGUAGAGCUCAUGCCUGUGCCUCAACCCUCACUGGUUUUCUAAUAUAGGUUCAGGUAGUAUUCCUUAGAGAGUCAGAUAAGGAAAAUAAAUACCAAACAUAGAAUAAAUGCAGAAGACAACACAUAACCCUAGAUGAACAGUUUAGUGCUUCUGUGUUGGUAUAGAAAAGUAGAAGCAUCCCCAGGUUUUUAUGGUUUUCCUCUAAGGGCAGUCCAAUGUUCUGUCUUCAUUGAAUUUUUUUUUCUUACAAAAUUUCUGUUGUAAACUAGAAAACAAUCUCCCUUUUGUGACCCUUUUGGCUCAGGUGGAAAGUGUUUGUGGUCUGCCUCAACUAAAACAAUAAUGUGAAAUUUUAUCUAAUCAUCUAGUGUGAAAUUAGUCAGAUGUGACAUUUUUGCCCUUGUGAUCGACUUGCAAUCAAGGAAUAUACUUUCAGUAAAUGAACAGAUAGAAUUUCUCUAAAUUUA